rnacentral:rRNA from 1 species
GACGAACGCUGGCGGCGUGCUUAACACAUGCAAGUCGAACGAUGAACCCGGGGCUUGCUCCGGUGGAUUAGUGGCGAACGGGUGAGUAACACGUGAGUAACCUGCCCUUGACUCUGGGAUAACUGCGGGAAACUGUAGCUAAUACCGGAUACGACCCUCGGCGGCAUCGCCAGGGGGUGGAAAGAAUUUCGGUCAAGGAUGGGCUCGCGGCCUAUCAGCUAGUUGGUGAGGUAACGGCUCACCAAGGCGACGACGGGUAGCCGGCCUGAGAGGGUGACCGGCAACACUGGGACUGAGACACGGCCCAGACUCCUACGGGAGGCAGCAGUGGGGAAUAUUGCACAAUGAGCGCAAGCCUGAUGCAGCAACGCCGCGUGAGGGAUGACGGCCUUCGGGUUGUAAACCUCUUUUAGUAGGGAAGAAGCGAAAGUGACGGUACCUGCAGAAAAAGCACCGGCUAACUACGUGCCAGCCGCCGCAGUAA